GUAAUCUGCAUAAAGAAUAUACAACCUCUUUGGAAUUCACAAAAAAGAGCAAUAAUAGGAAAGGUAUAGAAAUAUACUGAAACAGAAAAUAUAUUCAGGGAUAUUGAUGAGAACAUUAUAUUCACUAGUGAACCAAAACAACAUUAAUAAAAACUGAAGACAAACAAAACAAACUAGAGAAACCAUACAAGAUAACAACCAAAAGAAAUCACAAAAGCACAAAAUAAAUGCAAAGACACAUGAGGACCAAACCAUCACUCCUCAUCUUCUUAUUCAAACCCCCUACAAUGUGUCUUUCUCAAACGCCUCUGAAUGCUUGAUAACUUCGCAUCUGUCAUCAAGAAGCCUGUUUUAGUGCUCUUUCAUCUCUACCUGCCUGUAGAUCUUAAGUUUGUCAAGCAACAUCAUUUCAAAAGGUGAGAGCGGUUCCUUCAGGUUUCACAAGAAUUUCCUCAAGUUCCCCUAACUCCCCAUCAGGAAGACCAUCCUUAUAGACAAAUUCAUCUCCUUGUUUUAUCAGUCUCAUACGGCAAAAUCCACUUUUAUUAAUCUUGUUGGAAUUUAAUAUAAUUUUGAAAACUUAGUCUAUCAAAUAUACUUUGUUGUGUUCCAAAACCUUGAAGAUCGACACAACAUAAGGAAUAGGGUAAAGAGUCAACUACCUAGUCUUCAUAAUGUGAUCUGACAACUCCUGAAAAGUAAAUCCAAAAUUCUUGAACCAGUUGAUACUAAAAUACUUGUAGGUUAUGAUUUUUCUAUCCUUGUCACUCUUGCUUAAAAUGUAAAUCCUUCCACUCUUGAUUAAAAGGAAGUCUCACAUUAGGGUUUGAUAUCCACCUUUCAACUACUGUUGGGUGCAUUUCAGUGAGAGCCUGGCCCUUGUUGUGGACCACACUUCAUUUCAUCCUCUUGGGUUGAAAUGGCGAUGCCAAAGUAUUGAAAAUAAAACGAACAAGGAAUGGAUGCACAAAAUUUUAGUGAUGGGAAGCAAAGAGAAGGUGAAUUGAAGGGUGGAUCUCAAACCUUGAUGUGAGACAUCAUAUUGAGCAAGGGUGAAAGGAUAGAACAAUCAUAGCCCACAAGUAUUUCAACAUCAGCUAGUUCAAGAACUCCAGAAUUACUUUCAAGGAGUUGUUAGAUAAUCAGAGUCUCAAGAAGUUUGUUGACAUGGAAGACAAGUUCAUCCGAAUUCAGUUCACGCUUUCUACACUAAACAUUAAGUUGAUAAAUGGUGUAAUGCAUUCCAAAGUGAAGGGUGUUUAAAUUGUACUUGAGGGCACAAUUUUGAAGGAUGUAUCUGGUUUCAAGCUUGAUGGAGUCAACAUUACUAUUGGAAGUUGAACAUUUUGACUAGUUUGGUAUCUGUAAGAGUUGUCCUAGAGACCCAAACAUCCAGAAUUUUUCAUUGCUCAAGACAAGCAGAUUAAAGAAGAAUGAGACACUGUUGACAUAUGUCAGUGCAUGGAUUCUUGUCCUAGGAGGAGUAAUCACGUGACUACUAAAGACAUAUUGAUCAUCUAUGCCUUCAAAAUGGCAUACAAAUGGAUUGGCAAGAAUUGUGGUGGAUAACAUCAUGAAGACUGGGCAGUUAGCCCUUUACCCUAUUCCUUAUGUUGUGUUCAUCUCCAAUGCAUUGGAACACAACAAAGUAGAUUUCACAGAUGAAGUCUUUAAAAUUAUUUUUGACUGCAACAAGAUUAAUAAAAG
rnacentral:sRNA from 1 species